GGGUGAGGCAGGGGCUGGCAUGAGCUGACCUACACUGUGGGAAGAUGCCUCUCGACAAGGACAGAAGCAGGAACAAGCCUGCAGGCGGGGAGGCUGGGGAUGGUGCUGGUGACCAGGGGGAUGGAGACAGUGGACAGAUCCAAGGACCAAGGCCAGUGGGCUGGGCAGUAGACUAUAUUUGAGAGGCUGGAGGAGACGACAGUGACCUAGGCCAGUGACAGAAGCCCAUGCCUUCAGGGUAGGGAGCCUCCUCCUGCUCCAGCAGCUGCUCUCCAGGACAGAUCAGCCAGGGGUAACCCUGGGGCCCAGGCCUCUAUCCCCCAUCUUGGUGAUGCUGGAGAGAGGGUGCAGGGCAGAGAGUCAUGGCCUUGCUGCCCUGUCUGGGGGUGGCAACUGUCGAAUCGCCUGCACAGUAACCAUCUGGAACCCUGGGACACAGGCAAGGCCACAGGGACCAGUUCUUGCUCCACGGCCUUCUUUUGUCAGCAUCACCCCCAUUUUCCAGAUGAAGGAAGGAUCUGACACUCAAAAGAGAGCUCCCCUCGGCUGUGACAUCUUCAGAAGGAAACAUCUCAGCUCUGAAGUGCUGACUUCCCUCUUGCUGCAGGUAUCAUAGAUGGAACUUUUGUGUCCCCCCCCAAAAUUCAUAUGCUGACGCAUCCCCCUCCACUACAAUGGUAUUUGGAGGGGCCGCCUUGGAGGGGCGAUUAGAUGAGAUGAGGUCAUGAUAGUGGG
rnacentral:lncRNA from 1 species